rnacentral:lncRNA from 1 species
AAAAAAGUGUCAUUGUCCUCGUUUGUCUUUUGGAUUUCACAGAGCAAUGAACAGAUUCAUGGAUUAUUUAAGAAGAUUGAUUAUUUAGAUCAAGGAAAGAUUUCUUGGGCUGACUUCUGCACACAUAUUCUGCACGAGUAUCACGAAAAGGAAGAAAUUGUCAAGCGCAGCAAGCAAGUGGCCUUCGCUCAACCGGCCAAAGUGAAAACUCUUAGUCAUGAUUUUCCCAUUGUCAACAUCCACUCCACCCAUGAUGGCAGCGUGUUCACGGUCAGAGAAGAUGGGCUCGUUUGUCACUGGAGCGCUGAACUUAAACUACAGAAGAGCAAACAGAUCUUUAAUGAAGGAUCUGCUGGUAGAAAGUCAAGGUGGGCAACUGAUUCCACACUAAUGGAGGAAUACAAAAAGCUCAUUAUUGGAACCGGGAGCAAAGAGAUCCAGUUUUAUGAACUUUCAACUUUAAAACCUUGUUGUCAAAUAAGCGCUCUGGCCUCAAUUCCUCUGACUGUGGACUGCAGGUGGGUCGAUGUUCUGCAUCAUCUCUGACAAACACCUGUGUGUUCGAUGCUCCUAAUGGGUUUUUUAUCCCUCCACGCCAAAGCUCUACUGGCCCUGAUAAAUGUUGUGUGCUAUAUGGAGACACUGAGGUAGGUCCUUUGUCUGGAAUUAAUCAAAGGAACAGAAAAUGUUAAGGCUGAAGCAGUGACAUGAGUUGAUUUUGUGUUGCAGGGAUGUGUGAACAUCUUUUUCAUAUCUGCUGUUAAACAGACAUUCAGGUAAUGAUGCUUUAUGUUCAACUGCAAAAAUCAGAAAUAAAUCAAGAAUUUUAAAACUUUCUUAAAACAAUUAUCAUUUAAUUAAUGAAAUUAAUUUUUGAUCAUUGGAUUUAUCGUCAAUGAAAACAAUCAUUUUUUCAAAUAAUCAAACGGAUUGUAAAAAAGAAUUUAAAAACAAACAAGAAGCAAAUGUGAAAAAAAUAGUUUGCAAAACAUCAAGGCUUAGUGUUACAGACACAUAUAUAUAUUAAAAUAGUUGGCAAAUUUUCUUUAAAAGGAUUUUUUGGUGCAAAAAAUGAGAAGUAAAAAUUGACAAGAAAAACAGAAAUUUGGGGUAAAAGUCAAAAAUAGGAAAUGUUUCUCCUUAAGAUUCUAAAGCAAGA